GGAAGGAUAGUCCAGUGGUUGGGGCACUAGCCUAGGGCUAGGACACCUGGGUUCAAGUCCUGGCUCUACCA
rnacentral:tRNA from 1 species